GACAUAGGUGGCAAACGUUAUCCGGAAUUAUUGGGCGUAAAAAGUGCGUAGGUGGUUUAAUAAGUUACUGGUGGGAAAUCGGGGCUCAACCCCGUGGAAGUCAGUAAUACUAUUAAACUAGAGGACCGGAGAGGUUAACGGAAUUCUAUGUGUAGCGGUAAAAUGCGCAGAUAUCGGGAGGAACACCUAUGGCGAAGGCAGCUCGCUGGGACGUUACUGACGCUGAGACGCGAAAGCGUGGGGAGCAAACAGG
rnacentral:rRNA from 1 species